rnacentral:rRNA from 1 species
GAUGAACGCUAGCGGCAGGCCUAAUACAUGCCAGUCGGACGGGAUUCAGGAGCUUGCUUCUGAUGAGAGUGGCGCACGGGUGCGUAACACGUAUGUAACCUACCUUUAUCAGGGGGAUAGCCUCUCGAAAGAGAGAUUAAGCCCGCAUAAAAUCACAGCACAGCAUUGUGUAAUGAUCAAAUAUUUAUAGGAUAAAGAUGGGCAUGCGGAACAUUAGCUAGAUGGCGGGGUAACGGCCCACCAUGGCGACGAUGUUUAGGGGAUCUGAGAGGAUGGCCCCCCACACUGGUACUGAGACACGGACCAGACUCCUACGGGAGGCAGCAGUAAGGAAUAGUGGUCAAUGGGCGGAAGCCUGAACCAGCCAUGCCGCGUGCAGGAAGACGGCCCUACGGGUUGUAAACUGCUUUUAUACGGGAAUAAACCCAGAUACGUGUAUCUGGCUGAAUGUACUGUAAGAAUAAGGAUCGGCUAACUCCGUG